AAAACCACAUGUUUAAGUGGUGUGCCGAGUGUGACUCUUAUGUUUAACUUUUCUUAAUUCCUUUCUUUACGCCGUAACCCCGCGUGAAAAUUUUCUCUCCUACUUUAUUUUCUUCCCGAAGCAUCUCGAUUCUCACCUACUCUCAACUGCUCUCACCAACACUCUCUAUCUCUCGCCCUUUCGUUCUUUUUAUUUUCUUUCGGGGUCAGCAGUUCACCCAGCAACCAUCGCGCAGCACCCCUGCCAAACGCCUCUGUUUUACACAACUCUAAACAGAGCACUUACUAACCACCCAACCGCUAAACCACGACGGAAGACGCCAGACCACUGCUUCAAACAUCCAACCCACGCCCCGUAGCCAGGCCUUGAACCCACGUGUAGCCACCGUAAGCCACCAAACAACCACCCCAGACCCACCAGCAACCUCUCGGCCCCGCCCUUCGCAGCCAACCUUUGCCACCAAAGCCCACUGUCCAGCUCCACCCACGAAAAUCACCUACAUGUAGAAAGCACAAACUCUGCCCCAACCGUGAACCACCAAGCUCGAAGCCCCUAUAACACCAAACAACAGCCCCCACGCCAAUCAGCAGGCCACCCAACCACUGCCUUAAACUACCGAAAGCCUCUGUUUUCCCUAUAUCCAUAAACAGAGCCUCGCUUCCUGCCGUGAGCCAAGCCGCAGCCACCUUCCUCUGUUCGACCACCACCCCGCCGGAAUCGACAACAGGAAGUGACACCGGAAGCCUCCCACAGCCCAGAUCUGCCUCACAACUUCCUUGGAAUCUGUCGCCGUCGACCUCAGCCGCGCCGCCGUGGAUCUCCACGCAGGCCCACUGCCGCGUCCACCCCUUCCUCGGUGAGCAGCUGCCCAACCCUCUCUCUCUACCUCUCGGUUUGAAUAAAACAACACCCUUUUCUUUGUUUUGACUUUUGUCCUUAUUUUUCUCCAGAAAUGGGUAUAGGCCUUUUGACUCUUUGAAGAAUAGCCUUUAGCCAGCUUUAAACCCGAUGGUCAUUGAUUGGAUUAUCCGUUAAGCAUCUCAACCCUUUUAAAUAUUUUUAUAUUAUUUCCUUUUCUUUAAAGUCUUACAUGCUAAAAUGUGCUUGGGACAACGUUAGGCCUGUUGUGAACUAACUGAAAAGAAAGAGAGAAUGAGGAAGAGAAUGAGAGAGAGGUUCUUGUUA